CCUACGGGGGGCUGCAGUGGGGAAUAUUGGACAAUGGGCGAAAGCCUGAUCCAGCCAUGCCGCGUGUGUGAAGAAGGCCUUCGGGUUGUAAAGCACUUUCAGUGGGGAAGAAAGCCUUGGGGCUAAUACCCUCGAGGAAGGACAUCACCCACAGAAGAAGCACCGGCUAACUCCGUGCCAGCAGCCGCGGUAAUACGGAGGGUGCGAGCGUUAAUCGGAAUUACUGGGCGUAAAGCGCGCGUAGGCGGUCUGAUAAGCCGGUUGUGAAAGCCCCGGGCUCAACCUGGGAACGGCAUCCGGAACUGUCAGGCUAGAGUGCAGGAGAGGAAGGUAGAAUUCCCGGUGUAGCGGUGAAAUGCAUAGAGAUCGGGAGGAAUACCAGUGGCGAAGGCGGCCUUCUGGACUGACACUGACGCUGAGGUGCGAAAGCGUGGGUAGCAAACAGGAUUAGAUACCCUGUAGUC
rnacentral:rRNA from 1 species